rnacentral:rRNA from 1 species
GACGAACGCUGGCGGCGUGCUUAACACAUGCAAGUCGAGCGGUAAGGCCUUUCGGGGUACGCGAGCGGCGAACGGGUGAGUAACACGUGGGUGAUCUGCCCUGCACUUCGGGAUAAGCCUGGGAAACUGGGUCUAAUACCGGAUAUGACCUCCUAUCGCAUGGUGGGUGGUGGAAAGAUUUAUCGGUGCAGGAUGGGCCCGCGGCCUAUCAGCUUGUUGGUGGGGUAAUGGCCUACCAAGGCGACGACGGGUAGCCGACCUGAGAGGGUGACCGGCCACACUGGGACUGAGACACGGCCCAGACUCCUACGGGAGGCAGCAGUGGGGAAUAUUGCACAAUGGGCGAAAGCCUGAUGCAGCGACGCCGCGUGAGGGAUGACGGCCUUCGGGUUGUAAACCUCUUUCAGCAGGGACGAAGCGCAAGUGACGGUACCUGCAGAAGAAGCACCGGCUAACUACGUG